CUAGCAUCCACUCCCGUCGCCGUUCCUCUCAUGCCGCCUACCUCACCGCUGCUGCUCUCCUCGCCGAGCUCGCUCGCCGCCGCCGCAUCCCAUCCCCGUCGCGCUCCCGCCACCAUUCCUCCUUCCCUCCUACCACUCCCCUCCGCUAGGCCUAGAAAUCGACGAGGAUGCCGAGCCGCCACCCGCUACCGGUCCUCAGACCGUCCUGAUCGACCAAGCUCAGGGUCGAGGGGCGCGCCGGAUCCGGGCGCGGCGGCUCAUAUCCCCCAUGCUGCGCGGAAGGACGGUGACCUCGCCACCCGGUAGCCACCUUCCUGGUCAGCACCCUGCGGACGCGUUCCUGGCGGACUAUGUGGCUGCGCCCGUCGAGACAGGGAAGGAGCACAUGCCUGCCGACAGGUACCCCAGAUGCUGUGGCCGCGGCUCGAGGGCCUAGAUUUGGCCGCCGUUAGAAAGUACGCCAUAGAUGGGAUUUGGAAGCGGCGUUGUUUGUCAACUACCUUGAUAGGUUCCUCUUCGUCUAUCCCCUUCCUGAAGGCAAAGCGUGGGACGGCUCUUGGCAGUGGCUUGCAUUUGUCUCGCUUCAAAGAUGGAGGAGACCUAUGUGCCACUCCCCAUGGACCUGCAGGUGAUUGAGGCAAAGUCUUCCUUUGUAUGGCAAUGAGCAUAAAAAGGAUGGAGCGGUUACUUCUUGCUCAUUUAUUGACUACUUCCUUCGCAACUUCAAUCAUCAUGACACACCCUCCAUGCUCGCAUUCACCCGUGACCCACCCCAUCUCGAGCACAACUAAAGGAGCUGAUUUUUGGGUUCAGACCUUCAUAGUUUGCUGCACCUGUUGCACUUGUUGUAUUUGGGUUGCUGCACCUGUUGCACUUGUUGUUAUUUGGGGAGCACAACUUCAGUGGUUGAAAGAGCUACAACUAAUUGCAUGUGUAUAAACAAGGAGCGAGUGUUAAGAUGCUACAAAUUGAUUCAGGACAAGAUAGCAAUGGGAACCACGGUCAUCAAAUCGGUUGGAUCAUCAAUGUUCUAUGUGCCGCAAAGCCCGAUAGGCGUGUUGGAUGUUGAUGUAUGUCUCAGCCAACAGAGUGAUGAUACUGUUGUUGGAUCUCCAGCAACAUGAUACCACAACUCUUCGACAAGCAAAAGGAUGAGAAUUGGCAGAUGACCGAUCACAUGUCGUGAUGUACUUAAGAUAAUGAAAAUCAGCUUAUUGCUACAAAGCCCAACUCAUGAGCAUGUCAGAGGGGAGCAAGAAGACAGGAGGUGUCGAGGAGGGAGAGGGCGCUCUUCUGUUUUGGUCCAUGCUGCUACGAAAGUUGAAUUAGUGUAUCGAAAGUUACUUUAUGUAGUAGUAUCAUCAUGAAACCUUGUCUUUUUCCUAUUCUGUUUGAUUACUUACCCUGUUUCAGUGACAAAGGUCUGUGAUAGAUUCGAUUAGGCACAUAUUGAGUGUCCAAAUUCGUAAAUAUUGAGCAUACCAUUUCAAUUUCAACUUAAACAUACAAUCUACUCUUUUUCCUUAAGAUAUAGGGGAGGGUGUAUCAUAUAUUGCUUGUUUGGUAUUUGCCUAUAGUUAUUAUUUCGUAAAGGCCUAUGUUUGGCCUUCUGUUAUAUCAGGACAUCUUGGUUCUAAAUUUCAUUCCAGAGAUAUGCUAAUAUCUCAUUUAGAUUGGUUGUUUUAGGAAAUGAGAAAAAUGCAUUCUCUGUUUGUUCUAUCUUUCCCUGUUUUUGUCAUCUUCAAUAUUUAUUGUUUCUUCAUACGUGCAUUUUUAUCGUCCCAACCAUCCACUGGCCUGACUAGGGCAUGCCAAGGUACACAUUUAAUUAUCAGAAGAUGGUUAUGUAUUUAUGGGGCCUACAUUUGUAAUGGUUCAUUAAUGUCACCAUUGAGUCGCCUUCUGUACUUAAGAGGCGUAUUGUGCGACUACACGUUUGUGUUUUUUAUCCAUUCACCCAUUGCAGUGUAAAUUCGAGUUCUUGGAUUUCUAUUUCUCGUUUCUUCUUUUUGGUGAGCGGGGUUAAUUGAGCUAUUUUCCUCUUGGUUUGUUGCAGCAAUUGGGAAGGAUCAUCCUGUAUUAUCUAUCAUGGUUAUUAGCUAGCAAGACUGAUGCCACAAGUGGAUCUGCCCAGUAAAUUUGUUAAUUUCUUCCUUGCAAGAAUGACAUAAUGGUCUUUCGAAUUUUAUUGAAGCUGGCUAAACAACAUGCGUUGAUGCGGAUACAAAUAGAUACCUCCUGUUAAUUGGCCGGUGGCAGCUGUGGCGCAUCAAGGUGCAAGGCAGCGGCAUCGCAUUAAGGUGCAAGGCAGCGGUAGCAUGUUCAUACUACGGGAAGGAAGAGCUCCUAUUGUUUUUUUAUGCUCCAUGCCGUAGAGUUUUAAAAUCAGAAUGGGGCAAUAAAUGUGUCUACUAUGACAAAGUGAAGACAAAACGAAUGCAUCGAGUUACUAAUGCAGUGGUUUUGGUGAGAACUGAAACCUUUCACUUUCAAGGUUGGACAUUGAUAUCAACUAUGAUUAUUUAAUAGAGAAAUUCAGUUAUAUGAAGCGAAAGAAAAGCAUGCAGUACCUUACAUUGAUAGUGAUUAUUAGCCCAUCGUGGUACUUCAAAUUCUGAUAAGAAUAUAUUUCAUGACCGAGAUUUGGAAUUUGGAGAAUCUCAAUUCUGACAUGUACAUGCGCAUCUCCUUUUAUUCUGUCACGCUACUGAAUGUUCUG